UACGUAGGGUGCAAGCGUUGUCCGGAAUUAUUGGGCGUAAAGAGCUCGUAGGCGGUUUGUCGCGUCUGCUGUGAAAACUCGGGGCUUAACCCUGAGCCUGCAGUGGGUACGGGCAGGCUGGAGUUCGGUAGGGGAGACUGGAAUUCCUGGUGUAGCGGUGAAAUGCGCAGAUAUCAGGAGGAACACCGGUGGCGAAGGCGGGUCUCUGGGCCGAUACUGACGCUGAGGAGCGAAAGCGUGGGGAGCGAACAGG
rnacentral:rRNA from 1 species